GGGGUUACCUUAGUACGGCGAGUGAGCGGUAAAAGCUCAAAUUUGAAAUCUGGUACUUUCAGUGCCCGAGUUGUAAUUUGUAGAAUUUGUCUUUGAUUAGGUCCUUGUCUAUGUUCCUUGGAACAGGACGUCAUAGAGGGUGAGAAUCCCGUUUGGCGAGGAUACCUUUUCUCUGUAAGACUUUUUCGAAGAGUCGAGUUGUUUGGGAAUGCAGCUCAAAGUGGGUGGUAAAUUCCAUCUAAAGCUAAAUAUUGGCGAGAGACCGAUAGCGAACAAGUACAGUGAUGGAAAGAUGAAAAGAACUUUGAAAAGAGAGUGAAAAAGUACGUGAAAUUGUUGAAAGGGAAGGGCAUUUGAUCAGACAUGGUGUUUUUUGCAUGCACUCGCCUCUCGUGGGCUUGGGCCUCUCAAAAAUUUCACUGGGCCAACAUCAAUUCUGGCAGCAGGAUAAAUCAUUAAGAAUG
rnacentral:rRNA from 1 species